rnacentral:rRNA from 1 species
UACGGAGGAUGCGAGCGUUAUCCGGAUUUAUUGGGUUUAAAGGGUGCGUAGGCGGGCUUUUAAGUCAGCGGUAAAAAUUUGGGGCUCAACCCCGUCCGGCCGUUGAAACUGGGGGCCUUGAGUGGGCGAGAAGAAGGCGGACUGCGUGGUGUAGCGGUGAAAUGCAUAGAUAUCACGCAGAACCCCGAUUGCGAAGGCAGCCUUCCGGCGCCCUACUGACGCUGAGGCACGAAAGUGCGGGGAUCGAACAGG